CAUGCAGUCGAACGAUGAACCGGUGCUUGCAUCGGGGAUUAGUGGCGAACGGGUGAGUAACACGUGAGUAACCUGCCCUUGACUCUGGGAUAAGCCUGGGAAACUGGGUCUAAUACCGGAUAUGACCUUCCAUCGCAUGGUGGUUGGUGGAAAGCUUUUGUGGUUUUGGAUGGACUCGCGGCCUAUCAGCUUGUUGGUGGGGUAAUGGCCUACCAAGGCGACGACGGGUAGCCGGCCUGAGAGGGUGACCGGCCACACUGGGACUGAGACACGGCCCAGACUCCUACGGGAGGCAGCAGUGGGGAAUAUUGCACAAUGGGCGCAAGCCUGAUGCAGCGACGCCGCGUGAGGGAUGACGGCCUUCGGGUUGUAAACCUCUUUCAGUAGGGAAGAAGCGUAAGUGACGGUACCUGCAGAAGAAGCGCCGGCUAACUACGUGCCAGCAGCCGCGGUAAUACGUAGGGCGCAAGCGUUAUCCGGAAUUAUUGGGCGUAAAGAGCUCGUAGGCGGUUUGUCGCGUCUGCCGUGAAAGUCCGGGGCUCAACUCCGGAUCUGCGGUGGGUACGGGCAGGCUAGAGUGAUGUAGGGGAGACUGGAAUUCCUGGUGUAGCGGUGAAAUGCGCAGAUAUCAGGAGGAACACCGAUGGCGAAGGCAGGUCUCUGGGCAUUAACUGACGCUGAGGAGCGAAAGCAUGGGGAGCGAACAGGAUUAGAUACCCUGGUAGUCCAUGCCGUAAACGUUGGGCACUAGGUGUGGGGGACAUUCCACGUUUUCCGCGCCGUAGCUAACGCAUUAAGUGCCCCGCCUGGGGAGUACGGCCGCAAGGCUAAAACUCAAAGGAAUUGACGGGGGCCCGCACAAGCGGCGGAGCAUGCGGAUUAAUUCGAUGCAACGCGAAGAACCUUACCAAGGCUUGACAUGGACCGGACCGCCGCAGAAAUGUGGUUUCCCCUUUGGGGCUGGUUUACAGGUGGUGCAUGGUUGUCGUCAGCUCGUGUCGUGAGAUGUUGGGUUAAGUCCCGCAACGAGCGCAACCCUCGUUCUAUGUUGCCAGCACGUGAUGGUGGGGACUCAUAGGAGACUGCCGGGUCACUCGGAGGAAGGUGGGGACGACGUCAAUCAUCAUGCCCCUUAUGUCUGGGCUU
rnacentral:rRNA from 1 species